UAAUUUUAAAGCAACAAAUAAUUGAGCAUUUGUGCACAGAUCUUAAAGCUACCAUCAAUCUCUCAUGAACGAAAUAUAUGUAGAUAUCACCGUCGCUCUCAUCCUCUCAAUCUCUCAACCAUUCUCUCCCGGCGAUCCCCUCAACGGAGCGAAGCGGCAGAGGCGGCAACGUUCUUUAUCAACCUGGAUCAACACGGCCGGGCCGGCGAGGGGAGGAGCGGCGGCGGCGUUCUUUAUCAACCUGAAUCAACACGACCGGGCCGGCGAGGGGAGGAGCGGCGGCGGCGUUGGUCGUGGCCGGCGAGGAGAGGAGCGGCGGCGGCGUUGAGUGGCUGUCCCCCGCCGGAGCUAGGCGAGAAAGGAGCGGGCGGCGGCGCCACAACUUCACAUCCCUGUAAGGAUCUGUCCGAACCACAUGAAGAUUCGUGGAGUGUUGUUGCCCCUUCAGGCUACCUGAUGUUGGGCCGAGAGCCUUGGACGAAGAUAGGUCAUCGCCAUGAACGAGUCAACAUGUGUGUUUGCUAGAGCGGAAAACCGUGUUCUUAGUGACAUCUACUUCACUUUUUUACAUAUCAAAAGGAUCGAACGAUUAAAAGCCUUUUAUCUAUGUUGAUAAAUUUAUUCUCUUAUAAAUUUUCAUGUUUUUCCCAAUUCGGUACAUUUGUAACAAACCAUGGUGUUCAAAAUAUUUGUACCUCGUGAUGAUGCGAGUUGAUAGGAAUA